CGACUGAGAUAGCUAGAGCAAUUUGUAAUAUGAUCGAUCCGUAUACCGAUCCGCAUAGCGAACGCCGUGGUUCCGCUGAAAGAGUAAGAGAGACAUGUGUGUGACACCCUCUUGAAGCCAGCACCCUCUGCGGGAGCGUACAGAAAAUAUUGUUUCGAAAAGUGCCAUCGUCAUCAAAGAACUGUGUUCUGUUCACUUGGCUGGCACCCAAUGCCAUGGAAUGUGCGAUAAUGUCGACUCUAGCAAUAUGAGGAGGUCUGGGUCGAGUUUACAUUACAGGCGCAGAUCAGCAAAGCCAGAACGAUCACAGAACGGAGUUUGUCACGUCAGUUUGCUUUCCGAUGUCAUGCCGAUCGUAAGUGAAGUGAUAUCAUUAGUAAAGUACGAUUUGGCGAAACACUUUACAACGAGUUUAUUUUUAACUACUUUUGCAAAGCUUUAUAAUAAGAUUGUGUGUUUGUGAUCCUAUACGGUUGUUGAGGUUUGUAUUGUCGAUCAGUCAACGAAAGGCAACAGCGCCUGAUCGAUGACAGUAAUUAUCCAUAAAGCACUGGGAGCUAGAGUACCAGACCCGCGAAGGAUGACAUUGGAUCGUACAGCAUGAAAUAGACAUGAACAUGUUUGGUGCGCAUACAUCAGAUCCCUGCAAACGUUCCGCUCCCGGUUCUGCAGUGCCAGGACUCAACUAGUCCAAUCAAGCAGCGAAACCAGUGCCAACGUUUGAGCGCCAAUCUGGAAGAUUUUAGCCAUCUACCUAGCUCGCGAACUAUCACCGAUCACCGGUGCUUGGCCAAGCUUCGAUCGUACUGUGCGGUACGCUCGCUGUUUGGUAGAUUUAUUGGAGCAACAGCAAUGGUAUGUACCAGCUAUAUUUUCAGGUCCGCUGAAACGCAACAUGGUUUGCAAUUUAGCUCGAUGACGAGGUUCGUAACUUCGCUGUGUUGACUAGACCCGCGUGCCUCCUCCCCACCACCUUCACCCUAUGACAGGCGGGUGACGGGCGACAAAAUGCAAAACCGCACGUGUUACUGGAUCGAGUCGUCCACCGAAAAAGGGCCGCCAGUAAAGGGGACUCCCAGCAAAGCGAGCCAGCUUUUGCCGCGAGUAGAUUACGGUUACGGUGAAACCCUCGCUUGCGGGUUGCGCUCUGUGGCGAACUCCGGUAAGCAAUGGAAUGCAUCUCUCCGUACUGAACGAGGCGAGCGUGUGAAGGGAGAAUUUAGCUGAUUUGAUUCCUUUUUCGAUGAAAACGGUGUUUGGCAAUGGUGAAUUAAUCUAUUAUGGGAUGAAUGUACAUGUCGGUCGGGCUUACAUGAAUUAUUUUAAGCUAUCUAUACCUGUGACUCAAAAAUAUCGAUUGAAGACGAUAUACUGAAUUUAUGAAACAGCCACAAAAGAACGUUGGACCUCAAUAUAUUAAUUUUAUGUAAAAUCAUUUAUUUUUAGUAUGCCGCAUUAUACAAGUAUGAAUAAUAUUCGAAGGUUUCGAGCUUUAAUUCUGCUGGAUUUAAAGUAUUGCGUAAGCCAAUACAAGCGCCUCGACCGGUUUCGAUGUCCUCGUAGAACGUCCAGCCAUACAGUGUAAGUGACAAGUUACGGACAGUACAGUGGCCACGGGGGUACGCCGCUACGUUGCUUUCACUUGGUACGCUCGUAUAGUAUAGAGCUAAAAGUAAACAUAGAUCCAUGUGAUGUGACGUAGUGGUACCCUCCCGUGUCUAUCACAACAUGCCCGUUGAAGAUUCCCGUUCGAUCGUACACCGAUCCCAGCAGUCGACGACAAGACGAGGCUCGGUUCACAUAAGCCAUGAUUCUAGCCAGCAAGAAACCAAAGAGUUGCCUGACAUCCGUGCUCGUGUGCAUUUAAAGUGUGUAUGUUCAUUGAACCACAUGGCGAAACGGUUGAAUGUCCGCCCGUUCGCUCGGGUCCGAGAACGUGUAUCGCCCGUUUGGAGCUGCAUAUUUCUCCCGUCCAUCCGGUUUCAGCCGGAGUAACAACCGUUCGUGAAGUUCACGCUAGAAUAGCAACUUCUCUACGUCCAGCCGAGGGCUGUCCGGAGGAGAAAGAUCACCGAUUCGAUGGUCCCGUUAGGCCGUUUGUUGGCCGAUGAAGUGCCCACGAGAUCGCGCACGCCACAUCAUCACAGACAGGCGUCGGGACCGACGGAAAGAGCCCCAAUCGACCAAGGUCGGCUCGGAACAGCUGGCAGCUGAGGCAGCUGGUUUCUAGUGGAGCUGUCCGCAACAAACGAUACUUCUCGUCGGCGGGCACUGUUUUGCGUUCUUAGUCCGAGCAACCGGGAAAGGGGAUGAAAAAAAAAACGAUAGCACAUCAAAUUCUGCUCUUCCCUUUUGAGUUGCAGCACCCGAUAACCCGAAGGAAUGACCCCUACAACGAGCGGCUCGGGAAGAACGCUACGAUGUAUUAGCGCUAGACAGUACCGGUUGAUCAUCAUGUAAAUGAGUUUAAUAAGAUAUGAUUGAUCAUCGGUAAGCUAAGUUACAUGGAUCAGUUUAAGUCAAGCUGAUGCACUUAGAGUGUAGAUCCUUUUGUUUUCAAUUUGUUGCCAAUUAUCUUACUUUUACGAUGAACGAUCGAUUGUACUGAUCGUUUAAAGUUGUAAAAUCUUGCCUAUAUUCCCACAUCAGCAUAAGUAUUGCUUACGUAUGCAGAAAUAUUUGGAAACGAUUGUCGUUUUUCUUUUUCAUAUCCAAUAAUUUUACAAGUAUUAUAAGGAAGAACUAGUUAAGAAAUCGGUAAAAAAAACUAUUACUACAAUAAGCACGAUAUAUCGCCGAUAUAUUUCCUCUAUAUGCGUAAUAUAUACAGUGCAAUUACAAUAUAAUCCUCAAGAUUGUACGUAGCACAAUCAAUUUGUCUCGGUACGAAAUUUCGCCUUUUUGUUGUGGACAAUUUGUCGAAGCAGCGCGUAGCCGCAUAAAUUUCUGCAAUCAAAUUUGUCUUCCCAAUGGUCAUCCAGCCGUAUUGUCAAGAGCCGAUGCAAGAGAAGGACGUUGAGUUUUUUAUGACAUAAGAAAUACGCCAAGAGAAGAAGGCUAGAACCUAGUAGAAUUGAGCAUUAAUAUUAAUUUCUGAUUUACAUUUCGUACGCGUUCGUUUCUUCAUGUGUUCUGCAAGUUUGUUUCGACCGACCCGAACUAGGCGGCUAGGCAAAGGAUGUACAUCAUACAUGAUGCGUUGUUUUGGAUACGAGUUAUAUGGAUCCAUCCAGGACCUUUCCAUACGCCCGAACGGUUCGAAUCAUUUUGAACUAUCUUGUUCAUGUUCUUCAAGAUAAGUUUCCAGUUGCAGUCAGUUACAGAUUGGACUGGUAUGAAUUGUUUUACUUUAAUGCAUUGUUGUCCCUGUUCUUUUGUGGUUAUAUGGUCUCGUUCGUACAAUUAUAAUUGCAUUAUGUACGCUGCCUUGGAAACUGAUUUCAAGGCAUCUGGCAUUGCAAGACCGUAUCGGGAAGAAUUGUGUUCGGGGUUAAUGUUAGUUUUCAUCUUGUUGUGAUGCUAGUUUAGUGUUGAAUUAAAGGGUUAAAGCUAAAAACCUGUUCGUGCCAAAGUGUGUUGAUAACUUUCUAUAUUUCUAGGAUUCAAAUCCAUUGCAUGAUCUUAUGUUUAAACUCAAUAUUUUUCUCUUCUACAUAGUCAUAUGAAUGUCUUAAUAAGCACAAAUCGAAACAUAAUUUGCAAAAAAGCCUCAAUACCAGUAAAAAUAUUACUAAUGAGAGUGUAUAAAUUUAACUUAAAAACGAUUUAUGGAACUGCUAGCCAAAAUUAAAGAUUAUUAAAAGUCAUAUAUCACAUACGAGUAAAAAGUAGAUAGUAAGUAAAAAAAGUUUAAAAGUAGCUCUCUUUACAGGUCCAAUGUAAAAUAACUUGUAUUAAUUGUUCAUACAUUACGGGAGUAAAUGUAAUAUCGACAAUUAAAGAUCUUUUAGAAAUCUUGUACGAAAUUUUAUCAUUGUUUUGGAAUUUAGUAAUUGCUGUAAAUACACGUGUAAUUUCUAGUAGCCGUGUUACUGUUACAGCUUAUGCAAAGUAUAUACUAAUGGUUUGGCAAACUUAUGAGGCCUAACUAAAUGCCAUUUGAAACUUAAAUAGAGCUUGGCAAGAAUAAUUAUAUUUUAGAAUCUUAUUUUUUUAUCCACAUAUUUACCUUUUCAUUGUUGAUUACAGUCGGAACACAGAAAAACACAACUGCACGGUAAAUCGUGUUUGUCAGGCUUUGUAAAAAACGCUUUAAAUUAUUGUCUCCCCACAGGAGGUCUAGCCACGAACUCUUACACACUCGUGAUUCGGACGGACGGCACAUCCAAAGGUAGUGCAGAAACGUUGAACGUUGAUUCCGUGUCCGCCUUCUCGAUACGCCGCAUCCUCUGGAUGGAAAAGGUUGUCUGUAAAAUGUAACGUACAGCUUAAUUUCCCUGAAGCACGAAAUUUUCCUUGAAGCGUCGUUUGAGUAUUGCUGUCUCGUUUGCCAACUGGAGUCCAAAAACGAUAACUUUAAUAUUGUAUCUUCGCUUAGCCUCGCAUCGUUUUGACAGUUUCCUGGCGGUGCAGCCAUCACUCGUAUUCUGAUUCGUAAUAUCGCUGAAAACAUCGAAAUGCUGACCUCCCGUGGUGAAGCAUGAAUGAUUUCUGGGGAUAUAGCAUAACAUUCUUGAUGCAAAUGCAUUAUUUGUUAGGGACUGUUUGAGGCCUUUCGUUGGGGCUUUUUCUAGAAAAAUAAACAAACUUUAAUUGCAUUUUUACAUACGACAAGCCCUUGAUCUUUCUCGAACUAGCGUGUAAAAACGCAUCGUCGUAUGCGUUGUUUUGUCACAUAAUGAGAGCAUCUAGUAAAAUUCAUCAACAGUAAAAGCAAUUGCUCUAAGUAUUUCGGUUGCACCACUGCCAUUCAAACAUCCAUAAUGUAAACGGCAGUAAGAAAAUUGGAAUAAAAGCUAUCGAUUUCAUUCAUAACACAAAACCGUUUCAGAUGAACCCGAAUCAGCUUACAGAAAGGAGAAAUUUCAAGGUUACCUCAGUUUGCUUGCGGUAUGUGGGAGGAUGCCGUUUGCAUUGGUGUAUGUGUAGCUUUUCAUCCGCUGCUCGGUAAAAUGUUUGUUCGAUGAUGAAAUUCGUGAAAUUCACUCUUUUGUUAUUGUUACGUGUUCCAGGAAAGAAAUCGGAUAAUGUGCCAAGAGUCUACAUCCAUCCGUAAAGAAUCGUACGGUGAGACAGAAACAAUCUUGCGAGAGGAAGUAACGUUUUGACCGUACAUUGAUAAAUUCACGUGGAAUCUUUAAAUUUAUCUCAAGUGUCAAAUUCAUGGUUAAUAAAGGAUAUCAGUCACUGAUGGA